UCUCCAAGUUUAUUAUUACCCCUUGAUUAUUAAUCCUUCUUGGAAAAUUGUAUUUGAAAUUUAAUUCAAAAUAACCCGCCAUUCCCGGCGAAUAAGAUAACUACUUUCCUGAAAUAUAUCAUCCGAUAAGAUUUUCGAUUCAUUUUUCCCUAUAAAUAAACCAAAACCCUACAUUUUUUUCAAGAGGAGAAGCAGCACAAAAGCUUCAACUACUGAUCACCAGUUGAGGUAAGAAAACAAGGACAUAAAGGCGGUGGGUGAACUGACAACAAUCUAUUACAUGUCUGGAGACCAAAGAGAAAAUGUUAAAGUUCGCCAAGAGAUGCAUAUCGGCAUGGAGAGGAUUCUUCCCGCAAAACUUACUUUAGAAAUACUUUCUCGUUUACCCACUGAAUCAGUCCUACAAUGCAGAGAAGUGUGCACAGGGUGGAGAGACCUAAUUGGCCAUCCUUCUAAUGCUCAUAUGCACUUGCAACGAUUAGCACAGUUUAACGGUAACAGUUUCUCAAGUCUUUCUUCUCAUACUGUCGCUGAUGUUGGCAUUGGCUUACUUUUUAGCUUUAUAUUUCCACCGGAAAACGGCUAUUGAUUUUACUAUGGAGAGUAUCAAAACCAGCAUAAUUAUAAACUUAAAAGGAUCAACCAGCCUCCCAUUGUUAGUAAGUCGGUCCUUGGUUCAUGUAACGGGUUGAUUUGCUUUUCCAAUCGUUUCGGUUUAUAUGAACCUAGCUGUAUUUGCAACCCUGUCAGCAGUGAGUACGUAAACAUUCCAAGGCUGAAUGUUAAAAGAAACGGCGAAUUUGAUGCUAUGGUGUGUGGUUUUGGUUACCAUCCUUCUACUAACAAGUACAAAAUAGUAAAAAUAUGCUAUGUCCGUAACCAACCUUUAGGGCAGGUCAAAGUAUAUACAGUAGGGAGUGGCACUGGUUGGAGAGAUAUGGGAGAAACCACAUACUCAUUGCGACCUACUGGGGGCUCUUAUCGAGGUAUUUACAAUUAUCGAUCCCCAUUUGGUACGUUGGCAAAUGGAGCACUUCAUUGGAUUAACGAGGUAAACAAGAUUGUGUCCUUUGAUUUGGCUAAUGAGAACGUAUACUUGCUCCCAUCGCCACCUUUUGACCGUCCUAUACUUCUGGGGGAUUGUUUCAAACUUGUGGCAUUGGGGGAUGCUUGUGUUUUGUUCAUUCAACGAAAGUAGGAUUAGACAUAUGGUUCUUAAAGAAGAAAGGGGAUUGCAUUAGUUCUGAUAUGAAUGAGCAGGACGAUUACGACUCAUUGAACUGGAUUAAGGAGUUCAGCAUACCAAUUGGACCUGAAGCAGAGCCAUGUGCCCUUACAAAUGGUGGUGAAGUUCUACUGGCCGGCCAAGCUAUUCUCUUUUGUUAUAAUCCACAAACAAAUUCCUUGAACACCAUUGCAGGUAACUAUUUUCAGCAUGGAUUUCGUUAUGUAAUUCCUCACAUGAACAGCUUUGUAUCGCUGAAAGCUCUUGGAGAAAAGUGUAAAAUUAGACAAAGAUAUGAUGUCAAUCCAGCACCAAGGGAAAUCUUCAUAGAACCACAGAGGGAGGAUAGAUACCGAAGACAUUGAUGCACAAACCUAGUUCACAUUAGUUGCAUACAUAGUGGAACUCAUAUGAUUCACACCACAUUUUUUUUCGUUUAUGCUGGAAACUGCUUUUCUGUCUUAAGUUUAGAUGAAUCACUGGAUUUCAGCAUUUGGUAUGUUAAGAAUGCUUGAAAUGAUGUUGAUUGUUUCUUUCUUA